CACACAUUCUCAUCACACACAGCCAGCCCAAUGCUAAUACACAGUUUCCAUUACAUGUACACAGCUCAAUACCAUCACACACAAACUAUUCCUAUCACACACAAACAAUAUAAUACGUCACAUGCAGUCCCCAUUACAGCCAGACAGCCAAAGAUAUCACACACAAAAUGUAGUCAUUACACUAAGACAGCAAAACACGCAGUUCCCAUUACACCUUGACACCCAAAUACAUCAUAUGCAGUCCCCAGUAUACUCAGAC